rnacentral:rRNA from 1 species
AUGGUUAAGUUAGAAAGGGCGCACGGUGGAUGCCUUGGCACUAGGAGCCGAUGAAGGACGGGACGAACACCGAUAUGCUUCGGGGAGCUGUAAGCAAGCUUUGAUCCGGAGAUUUCCGAAUGGGGAAACCCACUGCUCGUAAUGGAGUAGUAUCCAUACUUGAAUACAUAGAGUAUGAGAAGGCAUACCCGGGGAACUGAAACAUCUAAGUACCCGGAGGAAGAGAAAGCAAAUGCGAUUCCCUGAGUAGCGGCGAGCGAAACGGGAACAGCCCAAACCAAGAGGCUUGCCUCUUGGGGUUGUAGGACACUCUAUACGGAGUUACAAAGGAAUGAUAUAAGCGAAGAGGUCUGGAAAGGCCCGCCAAAGAAGGUAACAGCCCUGUAACUGAAAUGUUAUUCUCUCCAGAGUGGAUCCUGAGUACGGCGGAACACGUGAAAUUCCGUCGGAAUCCGGGAGGACCAUCUCCCAAGGCUAAAUACUCCCUAGUGACCGAUAGUGAACCAGUACCGUGAGGGAAAGGUGAAAAGCACCCCGGAAGGGGAGUGAAAUAGAUCCUGAAACCGUGUGCCUACAAGUAGUCAGAGCCCGUUAACGGGUGAUGGCGUGCCUUUUGUAGAAUGAACCGGCGAGUUACGAUCCCGUGCAAGGUUAAGCAGAAGAUGCGGAGCCGCAGCGAAAGCGAGUCUGAAUAGGGCGCAUGAGUACGUGGUCGUAGACCCGAAACCAGGUGAUCUACCCAUGUCCAGGGUGAAGUUCAGGUAACACUGAAUGGAGGCCCGAACCCACGCACGUUGAAAAGUGCGGGGAUGAGGUGUGGGUAGGGGUGAAAUGCCAAUCGAACCUGGAGAUAGCUGGUUCUCUCCGAAAUAGCUUUAGGGCUAGCCUCAAGGUAAGAGUCUCGGAGGUAGAGCACUGAUUGGACUAGGGGCCCCUACCGGGUUACCGAAUUCAGUCAAACUCCGAAUGCCGAUGACUUAUCCUUGGGAGUCAGACUGCGAGUGAUAAGAUCCGUAGUCGAAAGGGAAACAGCCCAGACCGCCAGCUAAGGUCCCAAAGUAUACGUUAAGUGGAAAAGGAUGUGGAGUUGCUUAGACAACCAGGAUGUUGGCUUAGAAGCAGCCACCAUUUAAAGAGUGCGUAAUAGCUCACUGGUCGAGUGACUCUGCGCCGAAAAUGUACCGGGGCUAAACGUAUCACCGAAGCUGCGGACUGUUCUGACGAACAGUGGUAGGAGAGCGUUCUAAGGGCUGUGAAGCUAGACCGGAAGGACUGGUGGAGCGCUUAGAAGUGAGAAUGCCGGUAUGAGUAGCGAAAGACGGGUGAGAAUCCCGUCCACCGAAUGCCUAAGGUUUCCUGAGGAAGGCUCGUCCGCUCAGGGUUAGUCGGGACCUAAGCCGAGGCCGAAAGGCGUAGGCGAUGGACAACAGGUUGAUAUUCCUGUACCACCUCCUCACCAUUUGAGCAAUGGGGGGACGCAGGAGGAUAGGGUAAGCGCGGUAUUGGAUAUCCGCGUCCAAGCAGUUAGGCUGGGAAAUAGGCAAAUCCGUUUCCCGUAAAGGCUGAGCUGUGAUGGCGAGCGAAAUUUAGUAGCGAAGUUCCUGAUUCCACACUGCCAAGAAAAGCCUCUAGCGAGGUGAGAGGUGCCCGUACCGCAAACCGACACAGGUAGGCGAGGAGAGAAUCCUAAGGUGAUCGAGAGAACUCUCGUUAAGGAACUCGGCAAAAUGACCCCGUAACUUCGGGAGAAGGGGUGCUUCUUAGGGUGUUAAAGCCCCGAGAAGCCGCAGUGAAUAGGCCCAGGCGACUGUUUAGCAAAAACACAGGUCUCUGCGAAGCCGUAAGGCGAAGUAUAGGGGCUGACGCCUGCCCGGUGCUGGAAGGUUAAGAGGAGCGCUUAGCGUAAGCGAAGGUGCGAAUUGAAGCCCCAGUAAACGGCGGCCGUAACUAUAAC